GAUGAACGCUGGCGGCGUGCCUAAUACAUGCAAGUCGAGCGAACAGAUAAGGAGCUUGCUCCUUUGACGUUAGCGGCGGACGGGUGAGUAACACGUGGGUAACCUACCUAUAAGACUGGGAUAACUUCGGGAAACCGGAGCUAAUACCGGAUAAUAUUUCGAACCGCAUGGUUCGAUAGUGAAAGAUGGUUUUGCUAUCACUUAUAGAUGGACCCGCGCCGUAUUAGCUAGUUGGUAAGGUAACGGCUUACCAAGGCGACGAUACGUAGCCGACCUGAGAGGGUGAUCGGCCACACUGGAACUGAGACACGGUCCAGACUCCUACGGGAGGCAGCAGUAGGGAAUCUUCCGCAGUGGGCGAAAGCCUGACGGAGCAACGCCGCGUGAGUGAUGAAGGUCUUCGGAUCGUAAAACUCUGUUAUUAGGGAAGAACAUACGUGUAAGUAACUGUGCACGUCUUGACGGUACCUAAUCAGAAAGCCACGGCUAACUACGU
rnacentral:rRNA from 1 species